GCAGGAUGAGAGGUGAAGAUGGGUAGGGAGUGCAAAGACUAUUUGGAUGAUGCCAACUAAGUUAAGAUCAUGCAAAUACCACAGUUUCAAUCCACUCAUGCUUACAAACACACAGAAAUUAUCCCAGUUUGAAUCACUGAAGAGUUAUUCUUCACCAGCAGUUGGAAAAUGGAAUGUGAACACGGAGGUCCCUGAAAAUGAAGGCUCACCUUUCUGCGAAGAGACAAGUGGUUAACAAGAUGGUUAAAUUGACAACAAACUGCUUGAAGCUGAGGGGCUGAUACACUGGUACAGUCCACGUUUUGGUUUGCAUUCCCAGCUGCUGCAUCUCAGUUUACAUCAUCAAAGCUGGACCUGAAAGUACAGGGGAAAGCUACAGGGUGCUACCAGUCUCCAGGUUGCAGGUACUCCUGUAAAGGUAGGUAGUUCCUUCUGUUCACGGACUCCAAAUUCACAGUAAUCAUGUCCACAUGCAUAUCCAUCUGCAUAAUCUUUCUACCCCAAACCAAUGACCCCUUUUUCAGUCAUUUAUUUUGUGUUACCAGUUUAU